rnacentral:rRNA from 1 species
AUUGAACGCUGGCGGCAGGCCUAACACAUGCAAGUCGAGCGGUAACACAGGGAGCCUGCUCCUGGGUGACGAGCGGCGGACGGGUGAGUAAUGUCUGGGAAACUGCCUGAUGGAGGGGGAUAACUACUGGAAACGGUAGCUAAUACCGCAUAACGUCGCAAGACCAAAGAGGGGGACCUUCGGGCCUCUUGCCAUCAGAUGUGCCCAGAUGUGAUUAGCUAGUAGGUGGGGUAAUGGCUCACCUAGGCGACGAUCCCUAGCUGGUCUGAGAGGAUGAACAGCCACACUCGAUCUCGAAACCGCUCCCGUCUCAUCUGGGAGGCAGCAGUUGGAUAAAUGGCCCAAUCGUCAGAAGCCUUAUGCAGCCGUGCAGGGUGUAUGAAGAAGGCCUUAGGAGUGUAAAGUACAGUCAGAUGUGAAGAAAGUGUUGAGGUUAAUAACCUCAGCAAUUGACGUUACCCGCAGAAGAAGCACGUGCUAACUCCGUGCCAGCAGCCGCAGUAACAC